rnacentral:rRNA from 1 species
GACGAACGCUGGCGGCGUGCUUAACACAUGCAAGUCGUACGGUAAGGCCCUUUCGGGGGUACACGAGUGGCGAACGGGUGAGUAACACGUGAGUAACCUGCCCACAACUUUGGGAUAACGCUAGGAAACUGGGGCUAAUACUGGAUAUGUGCUCCUGCUGCAUGGUGGGGGUUGGAAAGCUCCGGUGGUUGUGGAUGGACUCGCGGCCUAUCAGCUUGUUGGUGGGGUAGUGGCCUACCAAGGCGGCGACGGGUAGCCGGCCUGAGAGGGUGACCGGCCACACUGGGACUGAGAUACGGCCCAGGCUCCUACGGGAGGCAGCAGUGGGGAAUAUUGCACAAUGGGCGCAAGCCUGAUGCAGCAACGCCGCGGGCGGGAUGACGGCCUUCGGGUUGUAAACCGCUUUCAGCAGGGACGAAGCUUUUUGUGACGGUACCUGCAGAAGAAGCACCGGCUAACUACGUG